rnacentral:rRNA from 1 species
UGGCGGACGGGUGAGUAAUGUCUGGGAAACUGCCCGAUGGAGGGGGAUAACUACUGGAAACGGUAGCUAAUACCGCAUAACGUCGCAAGACCAAAGCGGGGGACCUCCGGGCCUCGCGCCAUCAGAUGAACCCAUAUGGGAUUAGCUAGUAGGUGGGGUAACGGCUCACCUAGGCGACGAUCCCUAGCUGGUCUGAGAGGAUGACCAGCCACACUGGAACUGAGACACGGUCCAG